rnacentral:misc_RNA from 1 species
GAAAUGCGAUACGUAGUGUGAAUUGCAGAAUUCCGUGAACCAUCGAAUCUUUGAACGCAAAUUGCGCCCAAGGCUUCGGCCGAGGGCAUGUCUGCCUCAGCGUCGGCUUACCCCCUCGCUCCCCCUUUCCUUCGGAUUGGGUGUGAGUGGAUCUGGCUUUCCCGGCUCCGUGCUUUGGCACGCCCGGGUUGGCUGAAGUGUAGAGGCUUGAGCAUGGACCCCGUUUGUAGGGCAAUGGCUUGGUAGGUAGCCUAGCUACACCGCCUGCCGUGGCCCGAGGGGACUUUGCUGGCGGCCCAGCAGGAAUUCGGGUGUUGGGUUACCCCACCCCGAAAGCUUCAAAACUUCGACCUGAGCUCAGGCAAGACUACCCGCUGAACUUAAGCAU